rnacentral:rRNA from 1 species
UACGUAGGGCGCGAGCGUUGUCCGGAAUUAUUGGGCGUAAAGAGCUCGUAGGCGGUUUGUCGCGUCGGCCGUGAAAACUUGGGGCUUAACCCCAAGCCUGCGGUCGAUACGGGCAGACUUGAGUUCGGCAGGGGAGACUGGAAUUCCUGGUGUAGCGGUGAAAUGCGCAGAUAUCAGGAGGAACACCGGUGGCGAAGGCGGGUCUCUGGGCCGAUACUGACGCUGAGGAGCGAAAGCGUGGGGAGCGAACAGG